GGUUGUGGCUCAGUGGUAGAGUGCUUGCCUAUCAUGCAUGAAGCACUGGGUUCGAUCCCUGGCACCA
rnacentral:tRNA from 1 species